rnacentral:rRNA from 1 species
GUCCCAUUCCGAACCCGGCCGUUAAGCCGUCUCGAGCCGAUGGUAGUGCAGGGGCAACCCUGUGUGAGAGUAGGUAGCGCCCGGG